rnacentral:lncRNA from 1 species
GGAGGUUCAAAUAGCAGGGAAAACACCUCCUGAGGGAAUGCAGGAACACAGAAGAUGCAAAGUGUGUCCAGAUCUCUGUUUUGGAGAAGAAAUUGCAUUUCUGGCAAGCAGCAGAGAUCAAACCAGGCAGCAAGAGCCUGGCUGGCCCCAGUCUACGAAGGGCAACGAGAGUCAAGGGAGAUCAAUAAAUUUUGGUGACAUUGGACUGGCAUUUGAGAAUUAUCAUUACAAGUGUCUGGAGCUGAAUCCCAGGAACCGCAGGGAAGUGAAAGAUAUAAAAUCUAUUUUCAGGAUGGGAUUGUGCAUAUCCUCUGCCAUAAUGUACAUAACAUAACAGUGCCUCUGCUUUCUCUGUCUGCUACAGGAUACACUCAAGCUCUCAGUCUGUUUAUUAAAGAUCAAUUUUUGUGAUAUCAUUGAUCCCCUGCACACUGGGAUUGUCAUCCUCACUCAGGAGCAGCUGAAAUUCAAUCCUUUCUUCUCCAUCCCUCUGUGGAUUAAACCCUGGGACACACAUAAUAGACACUCUCUGGGAAGAUAAUGUGCCUCUGGUAAUAGACAAAAAAAUUGACAGUAAUGAAGGGAUAUAUUGUUAAAAAUGGUGAAGAAUAACAGCCUGAUCAUUUCCUGCUCUGUGCCCAGGAAGACACCAGGAUAAACAGUCAGCCAAUGUAUUUAAGCACUCAGAAGAUAAAGGAUGAUAAGAGAAGAGCCAGCAUGGAUCUUCUGGGAACAAAUCAUAUCGAGUUACCUUCUGCAGAUAAGGUGAAGGGGAAGAAGGGAAGAUGUGUAGAGGAGCUGUGCUGGUGGGUUAGUAACACAGAGAAACAGAGAGAAAAUCAGGAUAAACCAGCAGGAGCAGCACAUUUUCAGUGUGAGACAAUUCUUCAAGGCUACUAAACUCUACAGCUGGAGUAUCUGCCUUGUCUCGGACUGAAGGGAAUUCUGGGGGGAACGUGGCCAAAACUGCAGAGAAAAAGGAGCACGAGGAAAGCCUGGCAGGAUGGAGCUGGGUUCAUCUACGGGGGGAUGGGGAAGGAGGGGAAAGAUCUUCAGGUGUGGGAAGCUCUUUCAGAACCUUCAUGGCAUCACUUCCAGCUCUGUCCUCUGCGGGAAGAAGGCUGGGGAGUGUCCUGCCAUCAGUGAGGGAACAGGGGGAUUUCCAUGGUGAAACUGCAAGGGAAACUGAGCUUGGACACCAGGGAAACGUCCAGCCUAAAGGCCAGUUGGGUACUGGAGUGUAGGAUCUGUGGAGGGACAGGUUAGGCAGACACCUGCCAGACACAAUUUAAUGUUAUCUUGAGAUAAAUAUAAUGUGGAUGACUUCAUUAAAA